rnacentral:rRNA from 1 species
GAUGAACGCUAGCUACAGGCUUAACACAUGCAAGUCGAGGGGUAACGAGAGGAAAGCUUGCUUUCCUUGUCGACGACCGGCGCACGGGUGAGUAACGCGUAUCCAACCUGCCCCCAACUAGGGAAUAACCUUGCGAAAGUAAGACUAAUACCCUAUAAUUUCCUCAGAUGACAUCUGACGAGGAAUAAAGAUUUAUCGGUUGUGGAUGGGGAUGCGUCUGAUUAGCUUGUUGGCGGGGUAACGUCCCACCAAGGCAACGAUCAGUAGGGGUUCUGAGAGGAAGGUCCCCCAAAUUGGAACUGAGACACGGUCCAAACUCCUACGGGAGGCAGCAGUGAGGAAUAUUGGUCAAUGGGCGGAAGCCUGAACCAGCCAAGUAGCGUGCAGGAUGACGGCCCUAUGGGUUGUAAACUGCUUUUAUACAGGAAUAAAGUUAGCCACGUGUGGUUAUUUGUAGGUACUGUAUGAGUAAGGACCGGCUAAUUCCGUGCCAGCCGCCGCGGUAA